AGGAUGAAUGCUGGCGGCGCGCCUAACACAUGCAAGUCGAGCGGAAAGGCCCUUCGGGGUACUCGAGCGGCGGACGGCUGAGUAACGCGUGGGAACAUGCCCCAAAGUGAGGAAUAACUGCCCGAAAGGGUAGCUAAUGCCGCAUAUGAUCUUAGGAUUAAAGGAUUUAUCCGCUUUGGGAGUGGCCCGCGUACGAUUAGGUAGUUGGUGAGGUAAAGGCUCACCAAGCCCACGAUCGUUAACUGGUCUGAGAGGAUGAUCAGUCAGACUGGAACUGAGACACGGUCCAGACUCCUACGGGAGGCAGCAGUGAGGAAUCUUCCACAAUGGGCGAAAGCCUGAUGGAGCGACGCCGCGUGCAGGAUGAAGGCCUUCGGGUUGUAAACUGCUUUUAUAAGUGAAGAAUAUGACGGUAACUUAUGAAUAAGCACCGGCUAACUACGUGCCAGCAGCCG
rnacentral:rRNA from 1 species